AAGAAAAUUGUGGGCAAAAAUUUUAGGAAAACUUUAAAUACCACCCAGUGGUUUCGCACGUUCUCACUUCAGUACCACGUGGUUUAAAGUGUAUCAAUUUAGUAUCCUGUGAUUUUUUUUCUUUUUAUUAUCUAUUUACUAAUUUUUGUUGUUAAAUUAAUGAUAAAAUUAAAACUAAAAUGUAUUAAAGUGCAUAUUCGAUAAAUCUACGUGAGGUAUCUAAAGUUUUUUUGUAUAUAAUUUAAUGAAAUAUUAACAAAAGAGCUGACAAAAAGAGAAAAUAAAGUCGUAGAGUACUAACUUGAUACACUUUGAACUAUAGGGUACUAAAAUGAAAAAAUACAAAACCACAUGGAUGGUAUUUGAAGUUUAUCCAAAAAUUUAUGAAGACCCCCCUCAACUAU
rnacentral:lncRNA from 1 species